CAGUUGAGACGUUGAAAGCUAACAGCAAGAGUGUUAUGACUUCCUGCGGUCUCCUCUUCGGGACCGGUUUGCAUGUCGGGGUUGAGUGGGUGCGAGAAGCACUUGUGGAGCUGGAACGAGGAGAUUUUCAGUGAUUUAGAAAAGGGAGUUUGAUAUUACCGUAAGUGCACAGGAAGAACCACAGGGAGUGGGUGGGGGAUCGCCUCCUCUGGUCCGCUCCCCUGUCACCGCAGCAGGAAUGACACUGAUGGGUUUUAAUGCUUG